rnacentral:tRNA from 1 species
CAAAUUAAAACUUAAAUUUAAGUUUUUUAUUUACAAUAAAAUUAUUAGUUGUUUAAAUCAACUUAAUUUGA